AAGUCCAUUGGUUGAAAAACAAAUCCAGCCCAGUGGAUGAAGCACUAGGAAAUGCCAUAGAUCCAUCAGUUGAAAGCUCAAGUUACUCAACCUUUAAUGAAGGUAUUGUGCAUGAAACAGGAAGCACAGACCUUAAUGUCAAAUCACCUCAUAAAGAUGUUCCAACCUCUGAGAUCUCUAACCAAAACCAGCUGACCGCGGGAACUAAGGCUGACAAAGCUCCAGAUAGCUUACAUACAAAGAUUACCAACGGUACCAGUGGUAGUAGUGAGCAAUCGAAAACCAAAGAGGUGGUUGUGAUUGAAGAUGAAGUUGAUGUCCAGACCAGCGGUAGCUUGAAGAAGGGAAGCAAACCAACUUUGGACAGAAUUAACCUUGAAUCAUGGGAAGGUGCAUCUAAAAAGACCAGACCAGAAGGUAACCCACUUUGGGAUGUAUUUAAAGCGUUUUUAGACGCCCUUGUGAAAUUCUGGUCCGAAUGAACUUAAGGUAUAGUCUCAAACCUUGCUAUUGCUGAGUGAGCAAAGAGUAGUGUACCUGUCAGAUCAUUUGUGAUUUCACUUGGGUGAUCCUUAUUUAAUUGUGUGGUCUUUCACUAGAUUAUCCCUUUCUCUUUGCCCAUACUUGACAUGGCUCAUACGUUACUUCAUCUUUUCGUCGAUGAUCUAGAUUACUGGUUAUCAUCUCUAGUCAUCAACUUUACUGUUUGCGAAAUUUUCAAACUUUUCUGUGGCAUCCAUGUUUUAGAGUGACAUUGCUGAAUUAAGAUGGGUUGUGCGAUCAUUGCUCGUAGACGUCAAUGUAAAAGUAGUUCAGGUCACUUUCACAGUUGGUGCCUUGUUUGACAAAUGAUAGGAAAAUGACUUGUUAUUUUCGAAGAUAUCGUUGUAGUCGUGAAA